rnacentral:rRNA from 1 species
CCAGACUCCUACGGGAGGCAGCAGUGAGGAAUAUUGGUCAAUGGGCGAGAGCCUGAACCAGCCAAGUCGCGUGAGGGAGGACGGCCCUACGGGUUGUAAACCUCUUUUGCCGGGGGACAAACGGCGGCACGCGUGCCGUCCUGAGGGUACCCGGAGAAAAAGCAUCGGCUAACUCCGUGCCAGCAGCCGCGGUAAUACGGAGGAUGCGAGCGUUAUCCGGAUUUAUUGGGUUUAAAGGGUGCGUAGGCGGGAUGCCAAGUCAGGGGUAAAAUACGGGGGCUAAACCUGCGCCCGCCGUUGAAACUGGCGUUCUUGAGUGGGCGAGAAGUACGCGGAAUGCGUGGUGUAGCGGUGAAAUGCAUAGAUAUCACGCAGAACCCCGAUUGCGAAGGCAGCCUACUAAACUGCCACUGACAUUGAUGCUCGAAAGUGUGGGUAUCAAACAGGAUUAGAUACCCCAGUAU